ACACACAAAAUAAGAAGAGCAUGCUACCAGCUCUAGUUGAGAGUCAAGAUGAGUCUCAACCCCCACCAAAUAUGUCAUUACAGCCUCUGGACCAGGAACUCACCCUAUCUUCUCAACCUCAUGGUUGGGUACCCCACAUUCCAAAUACACCAGAAAAGAUUUACCUUCAUUAUGCUGAACCUCCCACGGGACCAUUUGUUGAACCUCCGGAUCUAUUUUUUCUCAAAACUACAAAAUCUAGGCCUGUGCAGGGGACUGCAACACAGAUGGCCGCAUCACCUAAAGAGAUGGUUUCUCGAGCUCCGGAAAAUAAGGAGGCUGUUCUUUCAGGUCCAGGUGAGGAUCAAGAUGAGUCUCCAUCCCCACCCAAUAUGUCAU
rnacentral:lncRNA from 1 species